GGACGCAAGUCUGAACCAGCCAUGCCGCGUGAAGGAUGACUGCCCUCUGGGUUGUAAACUUCUUUUAUCUGGGACGAAAAACGGGCUUUCUAGCUCACUUGACGGUACCAGAGGAAUAAGCACCGGCUAACUCCGUGCCAGCAGCCGCGGUAAUACGGAGGGUGCAAGCGUUAUCCGGAUUUACUGGGUUUAAAGGGUGCGUAGGUGGAUAGGUAAGUCAGUGGUGAAAUCUUCAAGCUUAACUUGGAAACUGCCAUUGAUACUAUUUAUCUUGAAUACUUUGGAGGUAAGCGGAAUAUGUCAUGUAGCGGUGAAAUGCUUAGAUAUGACAUAGAACACCAAUUGCGAAGGCAGCUUACUACACAGUUAUUGACACUGAGGCACGAAAGCGUGGGGAUCAAACAGGAUUAGAUACCCUGGUAGUCCACGCCCUAAACGAUGGAUACUCGACAUUAGCGAUAUACAGUUAGUGUCU
rnacentral:rRNA from 1 species